rnacentral:rRNA from 1 species
GAUGAACGCUGGCGGCGUGCCUAAUACAUGCAAGUCGAACGGAGAGUACAUACUUCGGUUUAUACUCUUAGUGGCGAACGGGUGAGUAACGCGUUGGUGACCUGCCCCGAAGAGGGGGACAACAGCUCGAAAGGGCUGCUAAUACCCCAGUGGUCGUACAGGUUAGAGGCUGAACGACUAAAGGAGUAAUCCACUUCGGGAGGGGCCUGCGUCCCAUCAGCUAGUUGGUAAGGUAACGGCCUACCAAGGCGAAGACGGGUAGGGGGCCUGAGAGGGUGGCCCCCCACACUGGCACUGAAACACGGGCCAGACACCUACGGGUGGCAGCAGUAGGGAAUAUUGCACAAUGGGCGAAAGCCUGAUGCAGCAACGCCGCGUGCGCGAAGAAGGCCUUCGGGUUGUAAAGCGCUUUUCUGGAGGAAGAGAAAGGACGGUACUCCAGGAAUAAGGAUCGGCUAACUACGUGCCAGCAGCCGCGGUAACACGUAGGAUCCGAGCGUUAUCCGAAUUUACUGGGCGUAAAGCGCGUGUAGGCGGCCGGGUAAGUUGGACGUGAAAGCUCCUGGCUCAACUAGGAGAGGUCGUUCAAAACUGCCUGGCUAGAGGGCGACAGAGGGAGGUGGAAUUCCCGGUGUAGUGGUGAAAUGCGUAGAUAUCGGGAGGAACACCAGUGGCGAAGGCGGCCUCCUGGGUCGCCCCUGACGCUCAGACGCGAAAGCUAGGGGAGCAAACGGGAUUAGAUACCCCGGUAGUCCUAGCUGUAAACGAUGUGGACUUGGCGUUGGUGGGGUCAAAUCCAUCAGUGCCGUAGCUAACGCGAUAAGUCCACCGCCUGGGGACACGGUCGCAAGGCU